rnacentral:rRNA from 1 species
UGGCGGCACUAGCGCGGUGGUCCCACCUGACCCCAUGCCGAACUCAGAAGUGAAACGCCGUAGCGCCGAUGGUAGUGUGGGGUCUCCCCAUGUGAGA